rnacentral:rRNA from 1 species
GAUGAACGCUAGCGGCAGGCUUAAUACAUGCAAGUCGUGGGGCAGCAGGUUUGUAGCAAUACAGAUGCUGGCGACCGGCAAACGGGUGCGGAACACGUACAGAACCUUCCUUUGAGCGGGGAAUAGCCCAGAGAAAUUUUGGAUUAAUACCCCAUAGUAUAAUGAAGUGGCAUCACUUUAUUAUUAAAGAUUUAUCACUCGAAGAUGGCUGUGCGGCUGAUUAGGUAGUUGGCGGGGUAAAGGCCCACCAAGCCUGCGAUCAGUAACUGGUGUGAGAGCACGACCAGUCACACGGGCACUGAGACACGGGCCCGACUCCUACGGGAGGCAGCAGUAAGGAAUAUUGGUCAAUGGAAGGCAACUCUGAACCAGCCAUGCCGCGUGGAGGAUGAAGGUCCUCUGGAUUGUAAACUUCUUUUAUAUGGGACGAAAAAAGGCUUUUCUAAGUCGUCUGACGGUACCAUAUGAAUAAGCACCGGCUAACUCCGUGCCAGCACG